UACGUAGGGUGCAAGCGUUAAUCGGAAUUACUGGGCGUAAAGGGUGCGCAGGCGGUGUUGUAAGUCUGACGUGAAAUCCCCGGGCUCAACCUGGGAAUUGCGUUGGAGACUGCAAGGCUAGAAUCUGGCAGAGGGGGGUAGAAUUCCACGUGUAGCAGUGAAAUGCGUAGAGAUGUGGAGGAACACCGAUGGCGAAGGCAGCCCCCUGGGUCAAGAUUGACGCUCAUGCAAGAAAGCGUGGGGAGCAAACAGG
rnacentral:rRNA from 1 species